GAUGUGGGACCAGGUAAGAGUGGACCAUGGGAAGGAGUUCUACCUUACUCUUUACAUGCAGGAGAAAUUGACCAGCCACCGCCACAACACCGAGAGGCCACCAUAUAUGCAAACACCAUCAACAAAGAAUCACAAUAUUGACAGAAUUUGCCCUGAAAUCAACAAUAGGGUGAACUACCCUUUGAAAGUGGCAGUGGUCCAACUGGUGGAUCAGGAGGCGUUGGAUAUGGAGGACAGCAUGUUCAAAUUCUGUGCGUCAUCCUUGACAUGCCAGUUGGCUCGGCUUGAAAUUGACCGUGUUGUGCAAGCGUGGAAUGCCCACAGGAUUCCCGGAAUGGGAAUCUCCAGUUACUUGGCCAGAGAGGGAUGCCCAAAACGUGUAUCCACAGACCUUUUGCCAGAGUCAUCAGUGGCUUCAGACUGGUAUGAGCAAGAGGUGGGAUCAUUGACAAGAGUGUCACACUUUGGCACCAACCCCUUUCAGAGUGCAGGACCAGGAAGCUGCAGAGAGGGAAUUUGCUCUGCAAUGGCCAGAUGUGAGUGUAAUUUUGGACAAUGCUGUCAACAAUCAGCCAGAAAAUAAGGAAA